rnacentral:rRNA from 1 species
GAUGAACGCUAGCGGGAGGCCUAACACAUGCAAGCCGAGCGGUAGAGUUUCUUCGGAAACUUGAGAGCGGCGCACGGGUGCGUAACACGUGUGCAACCUACCUUUAUCUGGGGGAUAGCCUUUCGAAAGGAAGAUUAAUACCCCAUAAUAUAAUGAUUGGCAUCAAUUAUUAUUGAAAACUCCAGUGGAUAGAGAUGGGCACGCGCAAGAUUAGAUAGUUGGUGAGGUAACGGCUCACCAAGUCAAUGAUCUUUAGGGGUCCUGAGAGGGAGAUCCCCCACACUGGUACUGAGACACGGACCAGACUCCUACGGGAGGCAGCAGUGAGGAAUAUUGGACAAUGGGUGAGAGCCUGAUCCAGCCAUCCCGCGUGAAGGAUGACGGUCCUAUGGAUUGUAAACUUCUUUUGUACAGGGAUAAACCUACCCUCGUGAGGGUAGCUGAAGGUACUGUACGAAUAAGCACCGGCUAACUCCGU